CAGUAGCCACGGGAAUACUGAGGGUGCGAGCGUUAAUCGGAUUUACUGGGCGUAAAGCGUGCGUAGGCGGCUUUUUAAGUCGGAUGUGAAAUCCCUGAGCUUAACUUAGGAAUUGCAUUCGAUACUGGGAAGCUAGAGUAUGGGAGAGGAUGGUAGAAUUCCAGGUGUAGCGGUGAAAUGCGUAGAGAUCUGGAGGAAUACCGAUGGCGAAGGCAGCCAUCUGGCCUAAUACUGACGCUGAGGUACGAAAGCAUGGGGAGCAAACAGGAUUAGAUACCCCAGUAGUCCCUGUCUCUUAUAC
rnacentral:rRNA from 1 species